rnacentral:rRNA from 1 species
UACAGCUACCAAUUAUCUUAGAGGCACAAAAUCCCAUCUGAUUUUAGAGUCAAGCAUGAUCAGCCUAGGUUAGCAUUUGGAUGGGAGACCACCAGCAAUACCAGGUGCUGUAC